CCUACGGGGGGCUGCAGUGGGGAAUAUUGCGCAAUGGGCGAAAGCCUGACGCAGCAACGUCGUGUGAGUGAUGACGGCCUUCGGGUUGUAAAGCUCUGUCGGCAGGGAAGAUGGGAGAUAGGUUUAAUAUGCUUAUCUUUUGACGGUACCUGCAAAGGAAGCACCGGCUAACUCUGUGCCAGCAGCCGCGGUAAUACAGAGGGUGCUAGCGUUGUUCGGAAUUACUGGGCUUAAAGAGCUCGUAGGUGGUUAAAAAAGUUGAUGGUGAAAUCCCAAGGCUCAACCUUGGAACUGCCAUCAAAACUUUUUAGCUAGAGUGUGAUAGAGGUAAGUGGAAUUUCUAGUGUAGAGGUGAAAUUCGUAGAUAUUAGAAAGAACACCAAAUGCGAAGGCAACUUACUGGGUCACUACUGACACUGAGGAGCGAAAGCAUGGGUAGC
rnacentral:rRNA from 1 species